CUGGUACAGGCCUGGGGGAUA
rnacentral:miRNA from 7 species